rnacentral:rRNA from 1 species
ACAGAGGAGCCAAGCGUUGUCCGGAGUAACUGGGCGUAAAGCGCACGCAGGCGGUCGUGCACGUGGGGUGUGAAAGCGCUGGGCUUAACUCAGCGAGGUCACCUCAUACGGCACGGCUCGAGCCCGUGAGAGGUCCAUGGAAUUGCCGGUGUAGUGGUGAAAUGCGUAGAGAUCGGCAGGAACACCCAGGGGGAAACC